GAUGAACGCUGGCGGCGUGCUUAACACAAGCAAGUCGAACGGAAAGGCCCAAGCUUGCUUGGGUACUCGAGUGGCGAACGGGUGAGUAACACGUGGGUGAUCUGCCCUGCACUUCGGGAUAAGCCUGGGAAACUGGGUCUAAUACCGGAUAGGACCACUUCUUGGAUGUUGUGGUGGAAAGUUUUUUCGGUGUGGGAUGAGCUCGCGGCCUAUCAGCUUGUUGGUGGGGUAAUGGCCUACCAAGGCGUCGACGGGUAGCCGGCCUGAGAGGGUGUACGGCCACAUUGGGACUGAGAUACGGCCCAGACUCCUACGGGAGGCAGCAGUGGGGAAUAUUGCACAAUGGGCGCAAGCCUGAUGCAGCGACGCCGCGUGGGGGAUGACGGCCUUCGGGUUGUAAACUCCUUUCGCUAGGGACGAAGCGUUUUGUGACGGUACCUGGAGAAGAAGCACCGGCUAACUACGUG
rnacentral:rRNA from 1 species